GACGAACGCUGGCGGCGCGCUUAACACAUGCAAGUCGAGCGAAGCGGCGGCCGGGUGAGUAACACGUGAGUAACCUGCCUUAGACAUUGGGAUAGCCUCGGGAAACCGGGAUUAAUACCAAAUCGUCUAAGAUGGACUCGCGUCCCAUUAGCUAGUUGGUGGGUAACGGCCCACCAAGGCGUCGAUGGGUAGCCGGCAUGGGAGGGUGAACGGCGACUUUGAAGCUGAGAAGCGGUCCGAACUCGACGGGAGGCAGCAGGGGGGAAGAGUGCACAAUGGCGGGAACUAUGAUGCAGCGAGGCCGGUUGAACGAAGAAGGCUUGGGAGAAGAAAAGUUCUUUUAUAUGGGAAGCGGUACCAUAAGAAAAAGCCACGGCUAACUACGUGCCAGCAGCCGCGGUAAUAC
rnacentral:rRNA from 1 species